GACAGAGGGGGCAAGCGUUGCUCGGAAUCACUGGGCGUAAAGAGCUUGUAGGCGGUUUGUCGCGUCUGCUGUGAAAAUCCGGGGCUCAACCCCGGACUUGCAGUGGGUACGGGCAGGCUAGAGUGUGGUAGGGGAGACUGGAAUUCCUGGUGUAGCGGUGGAAUGCGCAGAUAUCAGGAGGAACACCGAUGGCGAAGGCAGGUCUCUGGGCCACUACUGACGCUGAGAAGCGAAAGCAUGGGGAGCGAACAGG
rnacentral:rRNA from 1 species